UUGGAUGCGUACACGCCGCGUGAGGGAGGAGGUCUUUGGAUUGUAAACCUCUUUUCUCAAGGAAGAAGUUCUGACGGUACUUGAGGAAUCAGCCUCGGCUAACUCCGUGCCAGCAGCCGCGGUAAUACGGGGGAGGCAAGCGUUAUCCGGAAUUAUUGGGCGUAAAGCGUCCGCAGGUGGUCAGCCAAGUCUGCCGUCAAAUCAGGUUGCUUAACGACCUAAAGGCGGUGGAAACUGGCAGACUAGAGAGCAGUAGGGGUAGCAGGAAUUCCCAGUGUAGCGGUGAAAUGCGUAGAGAUUGGGAAGAACAUCGGUGGCGAAAGCGUGCUACUGGGCUGUAUCUGACACUCAGGGACGAAAGCUAGGGGAGCGAAUGGGAUUAGAUACCCCCUGUAGUCA
rnacentral:rRNA from 1 species